CAGUCGCCGCGGUAAUACAGAGGAUGCAAGCGUUAUCCGGAAUGAUUGGGCGUAAAGCGUCUGUAGGUGGCUUUUCAAGUCCGCCGUCAAAUCCCAGGGCUCAACCCUGGACAGGCGGUGGAAACUACCAAGCUGAAGUACGGUAGGGGCAGAGGGAAUUUCCAGUGGGGCGGUGAAAUGCGUUGAGAUCGAAAAGAACACCAACAGCGAAAGCACUCUGCUGGGACGACACUGACACUAAGAGACGAAAGCUAGGGGAGCAAAUGGGAUUAGAUACCCCCGUAGUCCCUGUCUCUUAUAC
rnacentral:rRNA from 1 species